rnacentral:rRNA from 1 species
GUAGGUGGCAAGCGUUGUCCGGAAUUAUUGGGCGUAAAGCGCGCGCAGGCGGUUCUUUAAGUCUGAUGUGAAAGCCCACGGCUCAACCGUGGAGGGUCAUUGGAAACUGGGGGACUUGAGUACAGAAGAGGAAAGCGGAAUUCCAAGUGUAGCGGUGAAAUGCGUAGAGAUUUGGAGGAACACCAGUGGCGAAGGCGGCUUUCUGGUCUGUAACUGACGCUGAGGCGCGAAAGCGUGGGGAGCAAACAGGAUUAGAUACCCUGGUAGUCCACGCCGUAAACGAUGAGUGCUAAGUGUUAGGGGGUUUCCCGCCCCCUUAGUGCUGCAGCUACGCAUUAAGCACUCCGCCUGGGGAGUACGGCCGCAAGGCUG